UACGUAGGGUGCGAGCGUUGCCCGGAUUUAUUGGGCGUAAAGGGCGCGUAGGCGGCUCGGCACGUCCGUUGUGAAGUCGCCCGGCUCAACUGGGCGGGGUCAGCGGAUACGGUCGAGCUUGAGCAAGCUAGGGGGCAAUGGAAUUCCCGGUGUAGUGGUGGAAUGCGUAGAUAUCGGGAGGAACACCAGUGGCGAAGGCGGUUGCCUGGGGCUUUGGCUGACGCUGAUGCGCGAAAGCGUGGGGAGCGAUCCGG
rnacentral:rRNA from 1 species